AGACUGUGAGGCUCCUUGAGGGGAAAACUGAAUGCAAAUAGCUCUUGUUACGACCCAAUGCUGAUGGCCCAAGCAAAACUCCUCCCUGCAAACAUUGAAGAAUAACCAAUACACAAAACUGAGUGAUAGAGAGAUGCAAUGACACGAGGUUGCCUGAGUGGUCUGAGGAAAUAAGCAAGAGUCCGUGUGACUGUGACGACAAGGCAAAUCUGUAGAAUAGCGAGAGGUAGUGCAUAGUGUAGAGGAUUGUUCCCUUGGAAGACUCCAUUAGAUGUAGCCGCCAUGGGAGCUGGACAUACAGUGGCAUUGGAAGCCAUUUCUUCCACCAAUAUGUUGAAUUUCAGGUAUUUUUCUCUACUACAGGACCUUCAAACAGAAUAAAAGCUUCUUAAUUCCAAUUACAGAUUUUCAAUA